UGUUCUUGGUAAUUCGACAAACUUUGAAUUAUGCAGUUUUAUAAGGAAAAACUUUUGUCACCUGGACAAUUGAAACGUCUGAGUGAACACAAGUACAGCUGUACAACGAAUAGCCUUUUGGACGGACUUCUUCAACCGUGGUGGGACUGGCUCGUUAGCAAAGUUCCACUUUGGCUUGCACCUAAUUUAAUCACGAUUUUGGGGCUUAUCGUGAACAUUGUUACCACUUUAAUUCUUAUUUAUUACAGUCCCGAUGCUAAAACCGAGGCACCUAGGUGGGCAUGUUUUUUAUGUGCACUGGGUUUAUUCAUUUAUCAAAGCCUAGAUGCCAUAGAUGGCAAACAGGCAAGAAGAACAGGAACUUCAACACCAUUGGGUGAACUGUUUGAUCACGGAUGUGAUUCUAUAUCAACCGUGUUUGUUGCUCUAUCAGCAUGUAUAGCUGUACAAUUAGGAUAUUAUCCAACAUGGAUGUUUUUCCAAUGUUUCUGUGCAAUGACACUAUUUUAUUGUGCUCAUUGGCAGACCUAUGUUUCAGGUUCAUUAAGAUUUGGCAAGGUUGAUGUUACGGAAGCACAGUUUACUAUUAUAACAAUUCAUCUGAUUUCUGCAAUCUUUGGGCCCAAAAUAUGGAUGAUGGAGAUACCAUACAUAGAUGGUUUUAUGUUUAAGUAUUUAAUAGGAGUUAUGACAGUAAUUUGUGCACUGGCAAACUUAUAUUCCAUCUUUUCGGUGAUUUUCACCGGAGGAGUGGGCAAGAAUGGUUCAACUGUGGCUAUGCCAGUGCUUGGUGUAGGCACGAUCAGUAACUACGUAGCAGUGUUAUUUUAUGCAGGCUACAUUCAUGUAUUCCUUGAAUUCUGUAAAGUGUUUGAAUCUGGUGGGAUUGGAAAGAAUGGUUCCACAAUUGCAGGAACAUCAGUUUUAUCACCAAUUAUUCCAUUUAGCUUUGUGGUAGUACCAGCUUUUAUAAUUUAUAGAAAAAGUGCUGAACAUGUAUAUGAAAAUCAUCCUGCACUGUAUAUACUUGCAUUUGGAAUGGUUGCAGCUAAAGUUACCAAUCGAUUAGUGGUUGCUCAUAUGACAAAAAAUGAAAUGCAAUAUUUAGACAGUUCAUUGAUUGGACCAGCAAUGCUGUUCUUGAAUCAAUAUUUCAAUUUCUUUAUCAAAGAAUAUUAUGUUCUUUGGCUAUGCUUUAUCUGGGUGACUUUGGAUUUAUUCCGAUAUAGUGCUCAAAUAUGCCUUGAGAUUUGCGAUCAUAUGAAGAUCAAACUGUUUAGGAUACCCUUAGGAGAUCAUCGAUCGAGCCAGGUUUCUAAUACAGCUGAAAAAAAUGGUACUAACAGGUCCCAACGUAACAGAUUGCAAAAAAAACAUCAUUAGGAUUUACUUGUGAUAAUAAAUCUGCUGUAUGAUUCACUUUAUGUAUAAAGGAGAGUUAUAAUACAAGAGAUCAUAGAUAUUUGAUAAAUUUUGUUAUUAUGACUGUAUAUAUAAACAAGUGUUCGAAUAGUACAGUUCAUUUAUUAUCACAUUUAUUUGUAAUCAUCGUCGCAUCUGAUUAGUACUGAAUAUAUAAAUAAAAGGUCUCAUCAACAUAUUUGAUUAAAAGUUACUCACUGCUUCUCGUCGAUUGCAGCUAUUUUCUGUUAUCGACGAAAAGAUAUGAACCUAGUGAUCAAAACUAAAUAAAUAGAGCAAUAGAAACAAUACAUAGACACAUGACAAAAAGUAAUGCAUAAUUAUCGAAUACUUGAAUGAAAAGACAUGACAAAUUUUAAGUUUCAUAGUUAAUCUGAUUAAAUCAGUAAAUGUGAAUUUAUUUAUUUUUUAAUGAUUAGUGGACAAAACAUUUGUGUAGUAUAGUGAAAAUUCACUUUAAAUAUCAUAAUUAUUUUGGAAUCUCAAAAGAAAGUUUUUUUAAAUACAGUAUUAAAAAGAAAAUUAUAAAUUAAAUAACUGUUUCUUGUUUAUAAGUUUCAAAUAUUUUUGAAGGUCUCUUUUAUGUACCAUAUUAUAGUCCUGGUUUUCAUCUAGAAUACUUGAAUUUAUUAGAAAAAUAAAACAGUUCUGUUUUAUAACCAACAUGUAUAUAGUUAUAUACUACAAAUAUUUCCAUAGUCAAUUAUAACAUAAACUAUUUAUAGCGUAAGCGAACAACCAAAGAUAGUUACUUUGAGUUCAAGUGACCCUAAUCUACGGUUUUCGGUAUUUUUCUUGCUUAUCUACAAUUUAAUGAGGAAUUGUAAGGAAUUGAAAGAAUGUUGCUGAUUAACAAAUUACGAUAAUUGUGUGUUCUAAUAAUCUCUUUUAUUGAAUAUUUAUUAGUGAACGAAGAAAAUUGUAAACGCAAAUCGUAUAGAGCAUAGGAAAUUUCACAUGAUGGUGGAACAAGAACCUCUGUUAGACGAGGAUUAUCAUCAUGGAUCCGAUACCACCCUCGACCUAUGACGAUUGCAAAAAUAUUUCUCAACGUUCAGAGAUGGACAGGGUGUCAAUAAAAAGUUUCUGCUAAUUGGAAAUUAUUUUUUCCAAUGAAAGACUCGUGUACAACUGGUAUGGUAGCAAGUACAAAAUCUUGGCUGACCUUUGCUCCCUUCUGGAUUGCUUGCAUUUUUUUUUA